rnacentral:rRNA from 1 species
CCUGCCAGCCCGCUCAGAAACUUAAAGGAAUGACGGGGCCCGCACAAGCGGUGGAGCAUGUGGUUUAAUUCGAUGAUACGCGAGGAACCUUACCUGGGCUCAAAUGUAUGUUGACGUAUUCUGAAAGGGAUACUUCUUCGGACAAUAUACAAGGUGCUGCAUGGUUGUCGUCAGCUCGUGCCGUGAGGUGUCGGGUUAAGUCCCAUAACGAGCGCAACCCCUAUCAUUAGUUGCCAUCAGGUCAAGCUGGGGACUCUAAUGAAACUGCCUACGCAAGUAGUGAGGAAGGUGGGGACGACGUCAAGUCAUCAUGGCCCUUAUGUCCUGGGCUACACACGUGCUACAAUGGCCGGUACAAAGGGUUGCGAAGCCGCGAGGUGGAGCUAAUCCCAUAAAACCGAUCGUAGUCCGGAUCGCAGUCUGCAACUCGACUGCGUGAAGUCGGAAUCGCUAGUAAUCGUGAAUCAGAAUGUCACGGUGAAUACGUUCCCGGGCCUU